rnacentral:rRNA from 1 species
UACGUAGGGUGCGAGCGUUGUCCGGAAUUAUUGGGCGUAAAGGGCUCGUAGGCGGUUUGUCGCGUCGGGAGUGAAAACCAGGUGCUUAACACCUGGCUUGCUUUCGAUACGGGCAGACUAGAGGUAUUCAGGGGAGAACGGAAUUCCUGGUGUAGCGGUGAAAUGCGCAGAUAUCAGGAGGAACACCGGUGGCGAAGGCGGUUCUCUGGGACGUGACUGACGCUGAGACGCGAAAGCGUGGGGAGCAAACAGG